rnacentral:rRNA from 1 species
AUUGAACGCUGGCGGCAGGCUUAACACAUGCAAGUCGAGCGGGGAAAGGUAGCUUGCUACCUGACCUAGCGGCGGACGGGUGAGUAAUGCUUAGGAAUCUGCCUAUUAGUGGGGGACAACGUUCCGAAAGGAACGCUAAUACCGCAUACGUCCUACGGGAGAAAGCAGGGGAUCUUCGGACCUUGCGUUAAUAGAUGAGCCUAAGUCGGAUUAGCUAGUUGGUGGGGUAAAGGCCUGCCAAGGCGACGAUCUGUAGCGGGUCUGAGAGGAUGAUCCGCCACACUGGGACUGAGACACGGCCCAGACUCCUACGGGAGGCAGCAGUGGGGAAUAUUGGACAAUGGGGGGAACCCUGAUCCAGCCAUGCCGCGUGUGUGAAGAAGGCCUUAUGGUUGUAAAGCACUUUAAGCGAGGAGGAGGCUACUGAGACUAAUACUCUUGGAUAGUGGACGUUACUCGCAGAAUAAGCACCGGCUAACUCUGUGCCAGCCGCCGCUGUAACAC